GUGCUCGCUUCAGCAGCACAUCUACUACAAUUGGAAUGAUACAGAGCAGAUUAGCAUGGUCCCUGUGAUGACACACAAAUUCGUGAAGCGUUCCAUAUUUAA